rnacentral:rRNA from 1 species
UACAGAGGGUGCAAACGUUGUUCGGAAUUACUGGGCGUAAAGCGCGUGUAGGCGGCCCGGAAAGUUGGAUGUGAAAGCCCUGGGCUUAACCUAGGAAGUGCAUUCAAAACUGCCGGGCUUGAGUUCUGGAGAGGAAGGCGGAAUUCUCGGUGUAGAGGUGAAAUUCGUAGAUAUCGAGAGGAACACCGGUGGCGAAGGCGGCCUUCUGGACAGUGACUGACGCUGAGACGCGAAAGCGUGGGGAGCAAACAGG